AGAGUUUGAUCCUGGCUCAGAACGAACGCUGGCGGCGUGCUUAACACAUGCAAGUCGAACGCGAAAAUUUUCCUCGGAAAGUGAGUAGAGUGGCGCACGGGUGAGUAACGCGUAAGUUAUCUACCUCGGCAUCCGGAAUAACUCACCGAAAGGUGUGCUAAUACCGGAUACGUUGAGUAAUCAAGAAAGGUGGCCUCUGAAUAUGCUACUGUGCUGAGAUGAGCUUGCGUACCAUUAGCUAGUUGGUAGGGUAAUGGCCUACCAAGGCAACGAUGGUUAGCGGGUCUGAGAGGAUGAUCCGCCACACUGGAACUGAAACACGGACCAGACUCCUACGGGAGGCAGCAGUGGGGAAUAUUGCACAAUGGGCGCAAGCCUGAUGCAGCAACGCCGCGUGAGUGAUGGAGGCCUUCGGGUCGUAAAACUCUGUCCUAUGGGAAGAAAAAAAUGACGGUACCAUAGGAGGAAGCCCCGGCUAACUACGUGCCAGCAGCCGCGGUAAUACGUAGGGGGCAAGCGUUAUCCGGAAUCACUGGGCGUAGAGGGUGCGUAGGUGGCUCAUCAAGCCAGAGGUGAAAGGCAUUGGCUCAACCAAUGUAAGCCUUUGGAACUGACGAGCUUGAGUGCAGGAGAGGUAAGUGGAAUUCCUAGUGUAGAGGUGAAAUUCGUAGAUAUUAGGAGGAACACCAGUGGCGAAGGCGACUUACUGGACUGUAACUGACACUGAGGCACGAAAGCGUGGGGAGCGAACAGGAUUAGAUACCCUGGUAGUCC
rnacentral:rRNA from 1 species